rnacentral:misc_RNA from 1 species
GAUGAAGAACGUAGCGAAAUGCGAUAAGUAAUGUGAAUUGCAGAAUUCAGUGAAUCAUCGAAUCUUUGAACGCACAUUGCGCCCUCUGGUAUUCCGGGGGGCAUGCCUGUUUGAGUGUCAUUAAAUUCUCAACCUCAUAAGCUUUUGUUUAUUGAGGAUUGGAUGUGAGGGUUUUUGCUGGCUUGUAACAGAGUUCAGCUCCCUUGAAAUGCAUUAGUGGACUUAGCCGUUUGUGGGCCACAUUGGUGUGAUAAUUAUCUACGCCUUUUUGGUUUGCAGCUUGGGAGGUUGCAAUGUAACAGUUGCUCUUUCUGUUGUCAAGUGCUGUCUGCUUCAAACCGUCCUAAGUUAUUGGACAAUUCAUUGACUUGUUUGACCUCAAAUCAGGUAGGACUACCCGCUGAACUUAAGCAUAUCAAUAAGCGGAGGA